rfam:Populus trichocarpa scaffold_1_contig_341, whole genome shotgun sequence.
UUACUUACCUGGACGGGGUUAAUGGACGAUCAAGAAGGUUCAUGGCCUCGGUCAGUGACGUCUAUUGCACUUAGGAUGGGUGCUGGCUUGAGGUCUCCCCAAGAGGAAGAGCCUACGUCAUGAUCUGUGGUAGAGAGGGAUGCGCAAGUCGCGGCCCCUGU